rnacentral:rRNA from 1 species
AAGGGUGGCGUAGGCGGCCUGUUAAGUCAGGGGUGAAAGACGGUAGCUCAACUAUCGCAGUGCCCUUGAUACUGAUGGGCUUGAAUGGACUAGAGGUAGGCGGAAUGAGACAAGUAGCGGUGAAAUGCAUAGAUAUGUCUCAGAACACCGAUUGCGAAGGCAGCUUACUAUGGUCCUAUUGACGCUGAGGCACGAAAGCGUGGGGAUCAAACAGGAUUAGAUACCCCAGU